UAUUAAAGUACAAUAAUACAUUUUGCGAAAUUAUAUACAAUGAUUAAAAAAGGUGUCACCUACAACAAUUAUACAACAUAAAUGGUAUAUUCUGCUUAUUACAUAAUAUGAUAAAAAAUGCUGUGCAAAAAAUUCUGUUGUGUUCGUUAUGCCAAUAGAACAUAUAUAUAAGGACACUUGGCUACUGAAACAUUCAAAAUGGUACUAUAUUGAAAGCAGCACUUGCGGUGCCAUAACGUCAUAAAAUGUUCCUCCGAUAAUGUGUCUAAUCUGAGCUAGAAAAUUGUCCUUUAUUAAACAAAGGAAGAAUAAAAAUAGUUUUAUAACGUCAUCAAACUUCUGAAAUUAACCCUUUCCUACCAAUCCAACCAAAAAUCCUGCAGACGCUUAUGCAAGUCCAUGUGAAUAGCCCUUAACAACAUUUUUGUGUUAUAUUUCUAGUUGAAAAAGUCUCAUUAAGUAUCGGAGUACAAAUGCCAAUUUUGAUACUGAAACCAGAAAAAAAAAAAAAAUGGAAUGCUGACAACAUCAGUAAUAACACAUUGCACAAUGUAUAUAGGAUUUGAUCGGUCUAAAAAGACUUGAAAUACUGGAGUUCUAUCAGCCCGGACUAAUUAAAUUUGUCAGUCCUAGGACCGAUCUUUUAUGCUAUUCAAUAUAACCUCUAUCAAGAGAUAAGAUACCUGAAGUUUAAAGGAGGGGUUGUGUGGCUAUUAUUAAAUCCUAGCUAUGACUGAAGAAAGCUAGGAUCGAAUGAUUGAAGGACCGACGUAUCGGUCCUUAGGAAUGUUGAAUGGUAAAGAAGAUAGGACCGAUAAAAGAAAAGACUGGAAGAGGGGAAAAAGAAUACCUUAGACUGAUCCAACACUAAUUGUACAUUAUAUGUUGUAGCAUUUCUAGUUCACAUAUACCACGGACAACGUCACAAAAUAGAACGUAUUUGUCAGUUAUUUUCAAAGCACUUGUAUAUUAUCAUUUAUCAUGAUGAUAAGUAUCAAACCUAAAUAAUUCGAUCUCCUUAUCAGAGUGAAGAGAUUUUGUGAACAUAAACGUUUCUUGUUUCUAUUUAGUCACAAAGAAUAACUUUUUUGCUCCAAAAAUAUUAUCUUUUUAAAUAUAUUAUAUUUUAUAAAUUAAAUAUUUGUCGUGGGAUUUUCCCUCCUACAAACUAUUUGUGUUCACAUAACUUCUUCAUUUUGAAAAGAAGAAUUGUUGAGGUGAAUACGUCCAUAUGUGAUGUGAUAAUUCACCUUAAAUGUAUUUUUGGAAUCUCCCUGGAUGAAGAUAUCCAUUUUUAUUAUUUAAGAGAUAUUUUUAAAUGUACAUAUAUAUUAUAUAAUAAUUCAAAUUUCAGGGAAUGAACAAAGUUCAAAUGAUUUUAAACAAUUAAUUAUCCAUUUAUUCUAUGGACGGGCAGCAAUAGUUGUACAACUAUUAGGAUUAAAAAGAAACACACCAAGAAAAAGAUAUCCUCUAUAAUUAUUAAAGGGUGUGCAUUCAUUUGAGUAAGGUAAUUUUCAGCGAGUGUCAUCUUAGCGAUAUUCAUUUGGGUAAACUUCUUUUCAGCAAAAUUAAUUUGUGUGACAUUUUCAUAAAAUAUACAUUGAGAGAUUAAUGACGACAUUAAUAGACCAA
rnacentral:lncRNA from 1 species